rnacentral:piRNA from 1 species
UGCUCAGAUUUGAGGUUAGUCACCAGGG